rnacentral:rRNA from 1 species
GACGAACGCUGGCGGCGUGCUUAACACAUGCAAGUCGAACGGAAAGGCCCUGCUUUUGUGGGGUGCUCGAGUCGCGAACGGGUGAGUAACACGUGAGUAACCUGCCCCUGACUUUGGGAUAACUUCAGGAAACUGGGGCUACUACAGGAUAGGAGCUCCUGCUGCAUGGUGGGGGUUGGAAAGUACCGGCGGAUGGGGAUGGACUGGCGGCUUAUCAGCUUGUUGGUGGGGUAGUGGCUUACCAAGGCUUUGGCGGAUAGCCGGCCUGAGAGGUGGACCGGGCACAUUGGUCCUGGGAUACGGCCCAGAGUCCUACGGGAGGCAGCAGUGGGAAGUAGUGCACAACGAGCGGAAGCCUGUGGCAGCGACCCCGCGUGCGGGAAGACGUCUUUCGUGUUGGAAAGCGCUGUCGCCUGUGGCGAAGCGUGAGUGACGGUAUUGGCUAAAGAAGCACCGGCUAACUACGUG